CGGAACACGUACAGAACCUUCCUUUAAGCGGGGGAUAGCCCAUAGAAAUGUGGAUUAAUACCCCAUAGUAAUAUUGACUGGCAUCAGUUGGUAUUUAAAGAUUUAUCACUUAAAGAUGGCUGUGCGGCUGAUUAGGUAGUUGGUGUGGGUAACGGCCCACCAAGCCAGCGAUCAGUAACUGGUGUGAGAGCACGACCAGUCACACGGGCACUGAGACACGGGCCCG
rnacentral:rRNA from 1 species